UCUACAUAAUUUAAUAUAUGUGUUUAAAUCUUCAUGUCUCCAUGGUCUAAUAACCUCUCUGCAGCAACGAUUUGCUUGGUCAUAAGCCAGUUGUUUUAUUAAUGGCAUUGCUUGUUCUGUAUCCCCAAAAACUCUGGUAGCUGUUUGAAUAAGCCUAUCUACAAAUUCAGCGUAAGGUUCAUUAGCUCCCUGUAUUACCUUAGAUAAUUGACCUUGUAAAUCUCCAUGUCCUUGUAAAGUCUUCCAUGCCCUAACUGCGUCUGCAGCAAUUUGUGCAUAUAUAGCAGGAUCAUAUUCAAUUUGUUGCCGUUGACCCUCAUAAGGUCCUUUUCCUAACAACAUAUCUAGAUUUCUUUGAGGGUAACUGGCUGCUGCAUUUCGCCUAGCUGUCUCCAUGCAAAAUUCCUCAUUGGCAACCUUCCAUAACAAAUAUUGUCCUCCAUUUAGCACAGAUUUACACAUGCUAGCCCAAUCUGCUGGCGUCAUGUCCAAGUUGGUAAUGGAUUCGACCAUGC
rnacentral:lncRNA from 1 species